UACGGAGGGUGCGAGCGUUAAUCGGAAUUACUGGGCGUAAAGGGCUCGUAGGUGGCCAACUAAGUCAGACGUGAAAUCCCUCGGCUUAACCGGGGAACUGCGUCUGAUACUGGAUGGCUUGAGUUUGGGAGAGGGAUGCGGAAUUCCAGGUGUAGCGGUGAAAUGCGUAGAUAUCUGGAGGAACACCGGUGGCGAAGGCGGCAUCCUGGACCAAUACUGACACUGAGGAGCGAAAGCCAGGGGAGCAAACGGG
rnacentral:rRNA from 1 species